rnacentral:rRNA from 1 species
AUUGAACGCUGGCGGCAUGCCUUACACAUGCAAGUCGAACGGUAACGCGGGGCAACCUGGCGACGAGUGGCGAACGGGUGAGUAAUAUAUCGGAACGUGCCCAGUAGUGGGGGAUAGCCCGGCGAAAGCCGGAUUAAUACCGCAUACGACCUACGGGUGAAAGGGGGGGAUCGCACGACCUCUUGCUAUUGGAGCGGCCGAUAUCAGAUUAGGUAGUUGGUGGGGUAAAAGCCCACCAAGCCAACGAUCUGUAGCUGGUCUGAGAGGACGACCAGCCACACUGGGACUGAGACACGGCCCAGACUCCUACGGGAGGCAGCAGUGGGGAAUUUUGGACAAUGGGCGAAAGCCUGAUCCAGCCAUGCCGCGUGCGGGAAGAAGGCCUUCGGGUUGUAAACCGCUUUUGUCAGGGAAGAAAUCCUUUGAGCUAAUACCUCGGGGGGAUGACGGUACCUGAAGAAUAAGCACCGGCUAACUACGUGCCAGCCGCCGCCGUAA